rnacentral:rRNA from 1 species
GCGCAGCAGUUGCGAAAACUCUGCAAUGCACGAAAGUGUGACAGGGCUACCCCGAGUGCUGUCCGCUGAGGAUGGCUUUUCUCCGCUGUAAGGAGGCGGAGGAAUAAGGAGAGGGCAAGUCUGGUGUCAGCCGCCGCGGUAAUACCAGCUCUCCGAGUGGUAGGGAUGAUUAUUGGGCUUAAAGCGUCCGUAGCCUGCCUUUCAAGUCUUUCGUUAAAUCUAGCGAUUCAAUCGUUGGACUGCGGGAGAUACUGUUAGGCUAGGAGGCGGGAGAAGCCGACGGUAUUUUCGGGGUAGGGGUAAAAUCCUAUAAUCCCGAGAAGACCACCAGUGGCGUAGGCGGUCGGCUAGCACGCGCUCGACGGUGAGGGACGAAAGCUGGGGGAGCGAACCGGAUUAGAUACCCGGGUAGUCCCAGCUGUAAACGAUGCGGGCUAGGUGUUGGAGCGGCUACNAGCCGCUUCANUGCCGCANGGAAGCCAUUAAGCCCGCCGCCUGGGGAGUACGGCCGC